GAAAAACUGAGCAUCUGGCUAAAAGAUGGA
rnacentral:piRNA from 1 species